UACGUAGGUGACAAGCGUUGUCCGGAUUUACUGGGCGUAAAGAGCGCGCAGGCGGUCGAUCAAGUCGAGUGUGAAAGCCCCCGGCUCAACUGGGGAGGGUCAUUCGAUACUGAUCGACUCGAAGGCAGGAGAGGGUAGUGGAAUUCCCGGUGUAGUGGUGAAAUGCGUAGAUAUCGGGAGGAACACCAGUGGCGAAGGCGACUACCUGGCCUGUUCCUGACGCUGAGGCGCGAAAGCUAGGGGAGCAAACGGG
rnacentral:rRNA from 1 species